CCUACGGGUGGCAGCAGUCGAGAAUCAUUCACAAUGGGGGAAACCCUGAUGGUGCGACGCCGCGUGGGGGAAUGAAGGUCUUCGGAUUGUAAACCCCUGUCAUGUGGGAGCAAAUUAAAAAGAUAGUACCACAAGAGGAAGAGACGGCUAACUCUGUGCCAGCAGCCGCGGUAAUACAGAGGUCUCAAGCGUUGUUCGGAAUCACUGGGCGUAAGGCGUGCGUAGGCUGUUUCGUAAGUCGUGUGUGAAAGGCGCGGGCUCAACCCGCGGACGGCACAUGAUACUGCGAGACUAGAGUAAUGGAGGGGGGACCGGAAUUCUCGGUGUAGCAGUGAAAUGCGUAGAUAUCGAGAGGAACACUCGUGGCGAAGGCGGGUUCCUGGACAUUAACUGACGCUGAGGCACGAAGGCCAGGGGAGCGAAAGGGAUUAGAUACCCGGGUAGUC
rnacentral:rRNA from 1 species